rnacentral:rRNA from 1 species
CGCGUGUACUGGUCCGGCCGGGCCUUUCCCUCUGUGGAACCCCAUGCCCUUCACUGGGUGUGGCGGGGAAACCUGACUUUUACUGUGAAAAAAUUAGAGUGCUCCUGGCAGGCCUAUGCUCUAAUACAUUAACAUGGAAUAAUAGAAUAAGACGUGUGGUUCUAUUUUGUUGGUUUCUAGGACCGCCACCCUGAUUAAUGAGGACAGUCAGGGGCAUCAGUAUUCAAUUGUUCGAGGUGAAAUUCUUGGAUUUAUUGAAGACUAACUACUGCCAAAGCAUUUGCCAAGGAUGUUUUCAUUAAUCAGGAAAGAAAGUUAGGGGAUGGAAGAGUAUCAGACACCGUCGUAGUCUUAACCAUAAAGUAUGCCGAUUAGGGAUCGGACGAUGUUAUAUUUUGAAUCCUUAGGCACCUUAUUAGAAAUCAAAGUGCUUGGGCUCCAGGGGGAGUAUGGUCGCAAGGCUGAAAGGCAAAGAAAUGGACGGAACGGCACCACCAGGGGUGGAGCACGCGGGUUAAUUUGACUCAACCCGGGGAAACUCACCAGGUCCGGACACAAUGUGGAUUGACAGAUUGAGAGCUCUUUCUCGAUUCUGUUGGUGGUGGUGCAUGGCCGUUGUUAGUUGGUGGAGUGAUUUGUCUGCUUACCUGCGAUAACGAACGAGACCUUAACCUGCUAAAUAGCCCGUAUGGCUUUGGCAGUACGCUUGCUUCUUAGAGGGACUAUCGG